rnacentral:rRNA from 1 species
AGUGAACGUUGGCGGCGUGGAUUAGGCAUGCAAGUCGAGCGAGAACCGUAGCAAUACGGGGACAGCGGCGAAAGGGACAGUAAUGUGUAGGUACCUACCCCGAGGACUGGGAUAGCUGCGGGAAACUGCAGGUAAUACCGGAUAAUGUCAUCGGACCAAAGGUGUGAUUACACAUUGGCAUGCGCCUGCUUCCUAUUAGCUUGUUGGGGGGGUAACGGCCCACCAAGGCGACGAUGGGUAGCGGGUGUGAGAGAACGACCCGUGUUUUUGGGACUGAGACACUGCCCAGACACCUACGGGUGGCUGCAGUCGAGGAUCUUCGGCAAUGGGCGCAAGCCUGACAGAGCGACGCCGCGUGCGGGAUGAAGGCCUUCGGGUUGUAAACCGCUGUCGUAGGGGAGGAAAUGCAGGUGGGUUCUCCCUCCUGUUUGACCUAUCCUAGGAGGAAGUACGGGCUAAGUUCGUGCCAGCCGCCGCCGUAA